AAGCCUCUGUUUUUUUCUUUCUUUUGUGCUUUUCAAUGUCAAUUUUGGAUAUCAACACAUCAUUUUUCCCCUUGCACAAGAAAAAAGUAGUCAUCACUCUUCACUCACUCACUCACUCCUGCUUUCAAAGAGGAAACCAACACAUACAAUUGUGAAGAUUUUAAGCUGAAAGCCUAUUUGCAUUCUGCUUUCAAAUUUUGAGAUCCAUUCUCAUUCUUGAUCAUAAUUCAAGUAGAGGCACUUUUCAAUUUGCUCCCUUUUUGAUUUUUGAGAGUAGAGAGCCAAAAAGACUGAAAGGAAAGAAAAGCUUAGGAAUGCCUGGGGAAGCAGUUGGAGGUGGAUGAGUCAGAAUACAUUAACCUAUUCUGAAUUGCAUAUAGAAGAUUUGUGGCAAGGGAAUUAGAAUUGAUUUUUGAAUAUGGUAUAGAAUUGUUUUUGCAUACAAAAAUAAAAAAUAAAAAAUAAAAGCCCCAAUUUACUUGGGUUCAUCUAAAUCUCAAACAUUGUAAAUCGGGAGAUAAAGAAAUUGAUAGAACAAAAAUCAUAGAAAAAUAAAAGAAAAUUACAAAGAUGGAGAGAGAGAAUUCAUAACGUUAUAGAGAUGGAGCGCGUGAAAUAUGAGCAAAAGCCCUAGAGAGAGAGGUUUAGCUAAAGCAAAGUGUUUAUGUAAAAGAAAUUAGAGCUGACCAGCAUAUAUAGAACUUCUCAAAUGAACCAUGGACAACAAUUUUGCUCUGCUUUUUUUUCAUAAUUUUUGUUUUUCUUAACUCUGUUUUUCAAAAACAAAGCCAAACAUGUACAAAAUUUCUUGCUCCCUGCAUUUUUGUCUUUGAAAAUAACCAAAAAUCUGUAAUUUAAACUCUUCCAAACAUACUUCUCACUUCACUUUCAUCAAAUUAAAAAAAAAAAAAAAACUCCCAAAAAGGAAAUAAAGUAACAGAAAAUCGCGGCAAAAGAUUAUACACUAAAUCUACAAGAAAGAACUUCAUACCUCUGACUCUAAAUUCCAAAGAUCUCCGUCUCCGAAUCAAAUUUCCUGAAAAAUAUUAUUCCUUAGAGCUUCAACUAUCCGUGAAUGGCGAAAUCACUGUUCACCGAGCUUCAUAGCCUCAAGCAUUUCUCAGUUUCUCUCUGUAC